GCUGGGAUUGGGGCGGGUUUGAGGGUGACAGCUGAGCGUUUAAAGGGCCGGGGUCAGUUGACGAAUCCAGCCCGCGUCUAGUCCUGGGGGGCCAGGGUCUCUGCUGCCGCGAGGGAGAGAUGACUGCGGAGCGACCCGGCACAGUGCCCCUGGGCAGACACGGGAGACCGCGAAUGCUGGGAUCAUGGGGAGUCUGUAGGGUUCAGGUGUUUGCCGCGAUCUUCCUGCUGCUGUUGUCUUCAGCAGGAGUCGGGGCCAGGGCAAAGGACGACUUCAGUCUGGUUCGUCCGCUUGUGACCAUGGAGCAACUGCUGUGGGUGAGCGGGAAGCAGAUCGGCUCUGUGGACACCUUCCGCAUCCCGCUCAUCACCACCACUCCUCGGGGCACUCUCCUUGCCUUUGCUGAGGCCAGGAAAAUGUCAGCAUCGGAUAAAGGAGCUAAGUUCAUUGCUCUGCGGAGGUCCACGGACCAGGGCAGCACAUGGUCUCCAACAGCUUUCAUUGUGGACGAUGGGGAGAGCCCAGAUGGGCUGAACUUGGGGGCAGUGGUGAGCGAUACAACAACAGGAGUGGUCUUCCUUUUCUACUCCCUCUGUGCUCACAAGGCUGGCUGCCAGGUGGCCUCCACCAUGCUGGUGUGGAGCAAGGAUGACGGCAUUUCCUGGAGUUCGCCUCGGAACCUCUCCUUGGACAUAGGCACUGAGAUGUUUGCCCCCGGACCGGGCUCUGGCAUUCAGAAACAGCGGGAGCCUCGGAAGGGCCGGCUCAUUGUGUGUGGCCACGGGACGCUGGAGCGGGACGGGGUCUUCUGCCUCCUCAGCGAUGACCGCGGCGCCUCCUGGCACUAUGGGAGUGGGGUCAGCGGCAUCCCCUAUGGCCAGCCCAAGCGGGAAAAUGAUUUCAGCCCCGACGAGUGCCAGCCCUUUGAGCUCCCCGAUGGCUCAGUGGUCAUCAAUGCCCGGAACCAGAACAACUACCACUGCCGCUGCCGAAUCAUCCUCCGCAGCUAUGAUGCCUGUGAUACUCUGAGGCCCCGUGAUGUGACCUUUGACCCUGAGCUCGUGGACCCUGUGGUAGCCGCAGGAGCUGUGGCCACCAACUCCGGCAUUGUCUUCUUCUCCAACCCAGCCCAUCCAGAGUUCCGAGUGAACCUGACCCUGCGCUGGAGCUUCAGCAAUGGCACCUCAUGGCAGAAGGAGACGGUUCAGCUGUGGCCGGGGCCCAGUGGCUACUCCUCACUGGCAACCCUGGAGGGCAGUGUGGGCGGGGAGGACCAGGCCCCGCAACUCUAUGUCCUGUAUGAGAAAGGCCGGAAACAGUACAUAGAGAGCAUCUCCCUGGCCAAAGUCAGCGUCUAUGGGACACUCUGAGCUGUACACCUGCCAAGGGGAUAGAAGGCCCUGGACUCAGCCUCAGGACCAUGGGUCUGUAGAGGGUCUACUGGAGGAGCCUAGAAGACGGUUCCACCUUCCUUUAAAGUCUAGCGUUUUGCAAAAUCAACUUCUCUUUGACAGGGAAAUCAUUCCUUAGGACUAAAAACCUGGCUUCUCCCACAUAGGAAGAGCUGCCCACACGUGGGAGCACUUCUCUUCCACAUUGCUGGGUCUGCCCUCUCAGGGCAAUGAUUGGUCCUUUUCUUGGACAGGGCUAGGUGGGCCUGUAGCAUUAAAUAAAUGUGAACUCAGGGAAUUGGGGAAGGCUUACCUCUUUGGGGUAAGAUACUGGCUUUGGAGAGAGUUGGUGAAAGUUCCAGAAGGGCAGGACAUUUGGUUUCAAGGUGGGGUGAGAUACUGUCCUCCAUGAAACAGGGAGCAGGUGUGUUAAAUGCAGAUGAGAAGCCUCUCCCAGGCCAGCCUGGCAGAGAAAUGAGCACUGUGGCAAUUAUGUGACACAACAACAUCUCAUCCUAAAGGAGAUGCUGUGAAAAGAACAGCUGAGUGGGACAGCCACAGCUUUUCUCCAUAUGGAAAGAAAAUGCAAUGCCCGGAUGAGACGAAGAAUGUCAGCAAAUAAGUGUAGAAAGAAUAAUCAAAGUGGAAAAUCAUCAUUUUGCAAACUU